rnacentral:siRNA from 1 species
CACGUGUCAGGUCUAUCAUUGA